GACGAACGCUGGCGGCGUGCUUAACACAUGCAAGUCGAACGAGUGGUGAACGGGUGAGUAAUACGUGGGUAACCUGCCCUAUUUUGGGGAUAAGCCUUUGAAACGGGGUCUAAUACCGAAUAAGGGGGAUGGGCUCGUGGCCUAUCAGGUUGUUGGUGGGGUGAUGGCGGACCAAGGCGGUGACGGGUGGCCGGCCUGAGAGGGUGACCGGCAACAUUGAGACUGUGCUACGGCCCAGAGUACUACGGGAGGCGGCAGUGGGGGAUAUUGCACAAUGGGCGAUGGCCUGAUGCAGCGACGCCGAGUGGGGGAUGAGGGCUUUCGGGUUGUAAACCUCUUUCGCAAGCGAACGGGUAGGUGGAGAAGAAGCGCCGGCUAACUACGUGCCAGCAGCCGCGGUAAUAC
rnacentral:rRNA from 1 species